rnacentral:rRNA from 1 species
UCUACAGGCUUAACACAUGCAAGUCGAGGGGCAGCAUGGUCUUAGCUUGCUAAGGCCGAUGGCGACCGGCGCACGGGUGAGUAACACGUAUCCAACCUGCCGUCUACUCUUGGACAGCCUUCUGAAAGGAAGAUUAAUACAAGAUGGCAUCAUGAGUCCGCACGUUCACAUGAUUAAAGGUAUUCCGGUAGACGAUGGGGAUGCGUUCCAUUAGAUAGUAGGCGGGGUAACGGCCCACCUAGUCUUCGAUGGAUAGGGGUUCUGAGAGGAAGGUCCCCCACAUUGGAACUGAGACACGGUCCAAACUCCUACGGGAGGCAGCAGUGAGGAAUAUUGGUCAAUGGGCGAGAGCCUGAACCAGCCAAGUAGCGUGAAGGAUGACUGCCUUAUGGGUUGUAAACUUCUUUUAUAAAGGAAUAAAGUCGGGUAUGGAUACCCGUUUGCAUGUACUUUAUGAAUAAGGAUCGGCUAACUCCGUGCCAGCAGCCGCGGUAAUACGGAGGAUUCGAGCGUUAUCCGGAUUUAUUGGGUUUAAAGGGAGCGUAGAUGGAUGUUUAAGUCAGUUGUGAAAGUUUGCGGCUCAACCGUAAAAUUGCAGUUGAUACUGGAUAUCUUGAGUGCAGUUGAGGCAGGCGGAAUUCGUGGUGUAGCGGUGAAAUGCUUAGAUAUCACGAAGAACUCCGAUUGCGAAGGCAGCCUGCUAAGCUGCAACUGACAUUGAGGCUCGAAAGUGUGGGUAUCAAACAGGAUUAGAUACCCUGGUAGUCCACACGGUAAACGAUGAAUACUCGCUGUUUGCGAUAUACGGCAAGCGGCCAAGCGAAAGCGUUAAGUAUUCCACCUGGGGAGUACGCCGGCAACGGUGAAACUCAAAGGAAUUGACGGGGGCCCGCACAAGCGGAGGAACAUGUGGUUUAAUUCGAUGAUACGCGAGGAACCUUACCCGGGCUUAAAUUGCAGAUGAAUUACGGUGAAAGCCGUAAGCCGCAAGGCAUCUGUGAAGGUGUUGCAUGGUUGUCGUCAGCUCGUGCCGUGAGGUGUCGGCUUAAGUGCCAUAACGAGCGCAACCCUUGUUGUCAGUUACUAACAGGUUCUGCUGAGGACUCUGACAAGACUGCCAUCGUAAGAUGUGAGGAAGGUGGGGAUGACGUCAAAUCAGCACGGCCCUUACGUCCGGGGCUACACACGUGUUACAAUGGGGGGUACAGAGGGCCGCUACCACGCGAGUGGAUGCCAAUCCCAAAAACCUCUCUCAGUUCGGACUGGAGUCUGCAACCCGACUCCACGAAGCUGGAUUCGCUAGUAAUCGCGCAUCAGCCACGGCGCGGUGAAUACGUUCCCGGGCCUUGUACACACCGCCCGUCAAGCCAUGGGAGCCGGGGGUACCUGAAGUGCGUAACCGCGAGGAGCGCCCUAGGGUAAAACUGGUGACUGGGGCU